GUGAUUUUUAUAAAAACUUAAAAAACACUUCAAAUCAAUAUCCCAACUGUAUCAGUUGGAGCGGAAGAUAGAUUAGAUUGGCGACCCUAAACCCUCCUUCUCUUGCCGGAUAUUAAGGUUACAAGUUGUGUGAAACUUAAAAACAAACCAUCUACGCCAUUUAAGACUACAAGGAAUCAUGCUGACACCUAUAGACUAGUGAUCACUCACACUUGUUCAUGGUGUUUGGAUACACGUUUUAGUGCAUUCGCUCGUGUCCCAAAGCCACCGUUCGUUAGAAGCUACAAAUUGAAGCGUUCAUUUGAAUAGAAGGUGAUGCUUUUGUUGGGUGUAUGAUUGCAGUGGAACAAGGAACUUGUUACCACCUGCUUUUAUUCUUUACCAGAGUCGAUAAAUUGUUUUUGGUGUAUCAACUCUGGAGGUGGUAUUGACAUCUUCAUGGGCUUGUUUCUUGGAGCACUGUACAGCCCUCUAAUCCAAGAAGUGAUUGGCAGACACCGGCUUAUAUAUGAAGCAAAGAAGAUGGGACGGAGGGGUUGGAGUUCAGCCAGAGCAUUUGCUGUUAUGGGUUUACUAUUCUCAGUUGCUGAAUGCUGAGUAUGUUGUUGAGAAGGUCUAAUGGGUUUGGGAAUGAAAGUGUGUAUUUGCAUCAAGCAUUCGAGUUUCAUUCUUCAUCCUAUCAUCUGGGUCCCUUUCCAGGCACGAGCAAAACAUGGCUACACAAAUACUGUUGUUGGUGGGUGUGCUACUGGAGGUGCAAUAUCAACAAAAGGUAACCCUGUUUUUUCAUUCAUUUUCUGUCAAUUUAUACUGAUGAGGCAUGUACAUAUACAGACUUGGAAACCUUAUACUUUGAACAGUGUUAAGAUGCACUUUGAAAAGUUUUUUAGGUUAGAAAUUUUUGUAGUCGCACUUGACACUUUGUUCAUGCUCAUUAUUAGGAGAAUGCUGCUUUCUAAAAAAGCUAGUUCUUGUAUUGCAUCAAAUGCAUGGCACCAAAGGGUGCACUGCACAUCAUUGUCUCUAUAGUGCAUACUCAAGGAGACUGGGUUUGGGUGUGUCUGGGAUUAGUGAGAGUAGCAGUGAUGGGUUGACUAGAUCAAGGGUGAUGCAAUGCCUGCACAAGCAUUGGUACUCACGACUCAUGAGCUGGAUUCACUUGGAUGCCAUUGGAAGAGAGAAUGCUCCUUACAUAGGUGUUAUUAGUGCCCUAGAGGAGGGACUGCUUCUCUAAUUCUUUAUUGAGUGUGGUGUCAAUGGAGAGCACAAAGUGGUCUUCAUUAAGUGCACUUCUAGUGGUUUGGGGUCUUUGGGGGUGGCUUAGCAACAUUUAUCUUGAUAUAUUUCACCCCAAAACAGAAGGCCAUUGGUAAAACUAUUUUGUUUAUCCCCUUUUCUAAGUUGUUUUCGAUUUAAAUAUAAUUUAAUGUUAUUGAGAACCGGAAAUCAGAAUAAGUUUUUGUAGCAAUAAAUUUUCAUUGGUUUCUGACAGUGGUACUAUAUGGAUGUAGUUCUGCUGCAUAUGGGCAUUGUAAUUCUAGUUUAACUUCUCUUGUUCUUUCGUUCAUCUUUUCUCUCAUUGCUGAAGAAAGUUGUGCAUUGGAGGCUGCAAAGAUGAAUGAAAAGCAAAAUGAUGAAAAAUGAGAGAAGAAACCAAAAUCAGAGGGGGUAAUGAUCCGGCAAACCAAUAAUUGAAAUCCUCAAUGAUAUAAAUCUGUAUGAGUUUAGUCAAUUUUUAUUGUUUCCAAUGUUUUCAUAGGUAGGCCAAAAGCUGCAUGUGUGUUAGUAGGCCUCCUAUUACAAGUUUAUGUUAGGCAAAGGCCCAAUUAACAGGCCCAGUUUAAGUUAAUUGCACGUGUUAAAUAGAAUAAGGGUAGGAAGCUGUUAGCAAUUCGGUAGUUUUAUGUUGGUUUGGGUUCUUAGAGGUUGUUGUGUUAGUUAAUAGCAGUUAUUUUAUUUCAAUUACAGCAGUUUGUAUAUCUCCCUGUUCCUGUAACCCACUCUGCAGAAAACUAUUCUCAAGAGUAUUACUAAUCAUAAUACCAGUUCCAUUCAAUAUAUAUCGUCUUUCUCUUACCCGUUUAUACCAGAUCUAUCAAUAUGCUGAUUGUGCUAGCUUUGCAGCAUUCUCCAUCGUGAUACUGAUAGAGAAGUUUUUGGAGAGGCAUGAAUAGUUUGAGUUCUUGGUGAAAAUAUUCUGUCCAUGUGAAGGGAGCACACAAAUUGCAGUAUAGGAUUUAUUUCACAUUGGUAAUUUAUUUGUAUACAAUGUGAUUGGCGGAUGCACUCUUCAAACUGGGGAAAGCUCUGAUGCAAUGCCAUAUUUUAGGAUUGAUUAAUUUAAAUAGUUUUAUUUUGGUAUUACAUUCACUUGAAAAUAGAAAAGAGGGAAAGACUGAAUUAUUUCACUUGAUUGAAACAUAGAAACUGAUACAAAUAUAGAGAUCCUAAUUACUGUAUCAAUGAAAUGAAAGAUAUGCUGCAACCUCAUGCAUAACAAAUGAGAAAGCAAGACUGCUUAUUUUCCUA